UGACAAGUAAUUAGUACUAAAAUAAAUAAUUGUAUUGGGAUGGGAUUGUCUCAACUAUAAAUAAUCAUGUUAUUGGAUGAAAAAUAAUUGAUUUAGUUAAAAUCUAGUAUAGCUUUCUCCUCAAUGCCAGAGAUUAUCAAUAUUUCAACCUUCUGAUUAUCAACAUCACAAAUCAAUAUGAAAGUGUUUGUAUGAAAGAAAACAGAGAAUUUACACAACUUAUUUUAUUGAAUAUGCAAAAGGAAUUGUAGUUUUUACAUUACGGCAACAAAGUUAAAUAGAAUAACAACAAACACACGACUUCAGGUUUGAAAGACAGGACUUUAUGUUUAGAGAGACACAACUCUUCUCUAAAUUGAUGUGUAACUAACUUAAUACAAAUCAACAUUACUAAUAUAACUAACUAUAUGAAUGCUUAUAAAAUUGGAAACUCAAUUAUAUUCAACAUUCUGCAACAGAUCAGUAAUAAUCUAACUCAAGCCAGACUACUAUAACUAAGCUAGCAGGUGUGGAGUUAGUUUGAAUCCAAGACAUGUUAUUAAUCAGAUGGAGCUUCAGUAUGAGUUGAAGAGAGUUUCAUUUGAAAAGAGGAGCAAGAGCCUUGGAUGGACAAAGAGGGUUUCAAGGAUAAGCUUAAACCCUUAACUCACGUGAUCUCUCUCUCUCUCCGUUGGGUAUGAGUUCGUACGUUUGCAGGCUUGUCUCAGAUGAGACAAAGAAAGCAUGCUGGCUAGUUACUGCUUUGCGUGAAGGGUUAAUGGAGCAGGAGACAAAAGGAACCAAAGCUUAACUCAAGUUAUGGUAGCAAGGGUUAACUCUACCUAUUGGUUAGUUGUUGCUUUAGGUUAAAGCUCCAGCAGUAUAAAAGCAAAGAGAACAGGUCAGAGCUCAGUGUGCUGCUUGAGCAGAGCACCAGAGGGUGCUGAGAGACAGCACCAAAGAGGGCAGGAGAGGUGUAUAAACACCUAGGCUGAGAGUACUACAAGCACAUAAUUGCUUGGUAGUAGAGAAACUAGAGAGAGGGGAAACAGGGGUUUGAGAGAUAGCUUUGUAUUCACAUGAGAGGGUGAGAGACAAAGCUUGUAACCUCUUUAUCUAGUGGAUUGGUAGCUUGCCUACCCCUGAGAUGUAGGUACCUCGAAUGAGGCCGAACUCAGGGUAAACAACUAAA